rnacentral:rRNA from 1 species
CCUACGGGAGGCAGCAGUGAGGAAUAUUGGUCAAUGGACGAGAGUCUGAACCAGCCAAGUAGCGUGAAGGAUGACUGCCCUAUGGGUUGUAAACUUCUUUUAUAUGGGAAUAAAAUGUUCCACGUGUGGGAUUUUGUAUGUACCAUAUGAAUAAGGAUCGGCUAACUCCGUGCCAGCAGCCGCGGUAAUACGGAGGAUCCGAGCGUUAUCCGGAUUUAUUGGGUUUAAAGGGAGCGUAGGUGGAUGGUUAAGUCAGUUGUGAAAGUUUGCGGCUCAACCGUAAAAUUGCAGUUGAAACUGGGAGUCUUGAGUACAGCAGAGGUGGGCGGAAUUCGUGGUGUAGCGGUGAAAUGCUUAGAUAUCACGAAGAACUCCGAUUGCGAAGGCAGCUCACUGGACUGCAACUGACACUGAGGCUCGAAAGUGUGGGUAUCAAACAGGAUUAGAUACCCUGGUAGUC